ensembl:snoRNA
CUGAGUGGAUGAUGAUGCAGUUAUCCCUGUCUGAAGGCGAGCAAAGCCUUUGUGUGGAACUCGACAGCCUGACACUCAG